UACGGAGGAUCCGAGCGUUAUCCGGAUUUAUUGGGUUUAAAGGGUGCGCAGGCGGAAGAUUAAGUCGGCGGUGAAAUUUUGCAGCUCAACUGUAAAAGUGCCUUCGAAACUGGUUUCCUUGAGUGUGGAUGAAGUAGGCGGAAUUUGUGGUGUAGCGGUGAAAUGCAUAGAUAUCACGAGGAACUCCGAUUGCGCAGGCAGCUUACUAAACCAUAACUGACGCUCAGGCACGAAGGCGUGGGGAUCAAACAGGAUUAGAUACCCCUGUAGUCCCU
rnacentral:rRNA from 1 species